AACAGGAUUAGAUACCCUGGUAGUCCAUGCCGUAAACGUUGGGCACUAGGUGUGGGGGACAUUCCACGUUUUCCGCGCCGUAGCUAACGCAUUAAGUGCCCCGCCUGGGGAGUACGGCCGCAAGGCUAAAACUCAAAGGAAUUGACGGGGGCCCGCACAAGCGGCGGAGCAUGCGGAUUAAUUCGAUGCAACGCGAAGAACCUUACCAAGGCUUGACAUACACCGGAUCGUUCCAGAGAUGGUUCUUCCCUUUUGGGCUGGUGUACAGGUGGUGCAUGGUUGUCGUCAGCUCGUGUCGUGAGAUGUUGGGUUAAGUCCCGCAACGAGCGCAACCCUCGUUCUAUGUUGCCAGCACGUGAUGGUGGGGACUCAUAGGAGACUGCCGGGGUCAACUCGGAGGAAGGUGGGGAUGACGUCAAAUCAUCAUGCCCCUUAUGUCUUGGGCUUCACGCAUGCUACAAUGGCCGGUACAAUGGGUUGCGAUACUGUGAGGUGGAGCUAAUCCCAAAAAGCCGGUCUCAGUUCGGAUUGGGGUCUGCAACUCGACCCCAUGAAGUCGGAGUCGCUAGUAAUCGCAGAUCAGCAACGCUGCGGUGAAUACGUUCCCGGGCCUUGUACACACCGCCCGUCAAGUCACGAAAGUUGGUAACACCCGAAGCCGAUGGUCUAACCCUUGUGGAGGGAGUCGUCGAAGGUGGGACUGGCGAUUGGGACUAAGUCGUAACAAGGUAACC
rnacentral:rRNA from 1 species